UAGGGAAUCUUCCGCAAUGGGCGAAAGCCUGAUGGAGCAACGCCGCGUGUGUGAUGAAGGGUUUCGGCUCGUAAAACACUGUUGUAAGAGAAGAAUGACAUUGAGAGUAACUGUUCAAUGUGUGACGGUAUCUUACCAGAAAGGAACGGCUAAAUACGUGCCCG
rnacentral:rRNA from 1 species